GCUCUGCUGAGGAGUCCCACAAUAGGACGAAACAGUCGUCCAGUGC
rnacentral:hammerhead_ribozyme from 1 species